GAUGAACGCUGGCGGCGUGCCUAAUACAUGCAAGUCGAGCGAACAGACGAGGAGCUUGCUCCUCUGACGUUAGCGGCGGACGGGUGAGUAACACGUGGAUAACCUACCUAUAAGACUGGGAUAACUUCGGGAAACCGGAGCUAAUACCGGAUAACAUGUUGAACCGCAUGGUUCAAUAGUGAAAGACGGUGUUGCUGUCACUUAUAGAUGGAUCCGCGCCGCAUUAGCUAGUUGGUAAGGUAACGGCUUACCAAGGCAACGAUGCGUAGCCGACCUGCGAGGGUGAUCGGCCACACUGGAACUGAGACACGGUCCAGACUCCUACGGGAGGCAGCAGUAGGGAAUCUUCCGCAAUGGGCGAAAGCCUGACGGAGCAACGCCGCGUGAGUGAUGAAGGUCUUCGGAUCGUAAAACUCUGUUAUUAGGGAAGAACAAAUGUGUAAGUAACUAUGCACGUCUUGACGGUACCUAAUCAGAAAGCCACGGCUAACUACGUG
rnacentral:rRNA from 1 species